rnacentral:rRNA from 1 species
UACGAAGGGGGCUAGCGUUGUUCGGAUUUACUGGGCGUAAAGCGCACGUAGGCGGAUUGUUAAGUCAGGGGUGAAAUCCCGGAGCUCAACUCCGGAACUGCCUUUGAUACUGGCAAUCUUGAGGCUGGAAGAGGUUAGUGGAAUUCCCAGUGUAGAGGUGAAAUUCGUAGAUAUUGGGAAGAACACCAGUGGCGAAGGCGGCUAACUGGUCCAGAUCUGACGCUGAGGUGCGAAAGUGUGGGGAGCAAACAGG